rnacentral:misc_RNA from 1 species
AAGUCGUAACAAGGUUUCCGUAGGUGAACCUGCGGAAGGAUCAUUAAAAGUCACUGCAGCUACUCAUAUGGCUGCAGGGAUAACAUCAUAUCCGUCUGUGAAAUCACAGUGGGUCCGCUGUUGCUUUUGGCAGCAGGCAGAAUCUUACUGGGAUGGAUCCGGAUGUUAUGUUACACACCCAUUGUGAAAACUCCUACCUUUGCUUCGGCAGCACCCUCGGCGGGAAGAUGGUAAAAAGUCUUUAAGCCACUGGAGGGGUAAGGCUGUCAGAGGCUCAUAUCAAAACCAGUUGAUGAAAUGUCAUGCUGUCUGAUACCUUUUUUGUAUUUGAGAAAUCAAAUUAAAAAUUAAAACUUUCAGCAACGGAUCUCUUGGUUCUC